UUGCAUAUCCAAAAAGCGGAGGAAAAGAAACCAACCGGGAUUGCCUUAGUAACGGCGAGUGAAGCGGCAAAAGCUCAAAUUUGAAAUCUGGUACCUUCGGUGCCCGAGUUGUAAUUUGGAGAGGGCAACUUUGGGGCCGUUCCUUGUCUAUGUUCCUUGGAACAGGACGUCAUAGAGGGUGAGAAUCCCGUGUGGCGAGGAGUGCGGUUCUUUGUAAAGUGCCUUCGAAGAGUCGAGUUGUUUGGGAAUGCAGCUCUAAGUGGGUGGUAAAUUCCAUCUAAAGCUAAAUAUUGGCGAGAGACCGAUAGCGAACAAGUACAGUGAUGGAAAGAUGAAAAGAACUUUGAAAAGAGAGUGAAAAAGUACGUGAAAUUGUUGAAAGGGAAGGGCAUUUGAUCAGACAUGGUGUUUUGUGCCCUCUGCUCCUUGUGGGUAGGGGAAUCUCGCAUUUCACUGGGCCAGCAUCAGUUUUGGUGGCAGGAUAAAUCCAUAGGAAUGUAGCUUGCCUCGGUAAGUAUUAUAGCCUGUGGGAAUACUGCCAGCUGGGACUGAGGACUGCGACGUAAGUCAAGGAUGCUGCAUAAGACUUG
rnacentral:rRNA from 1 species